UUUUACCAAAAACGAUAAGAACUUUGUCAGUUUUACCAAAUAUUUAAGUGUGAGUCUGAGAUGGUCAUAUGACUUUUCUCAUUAGUCAGUAUAGAACCACAGUAAAACAGUGAACCAUCCUUACUAACCCGAUUGGCUAACGGUUUAGAAAUGGUAAGCUGCAUGGUGAUUUCCUGUGUGAGCGAUUGUGCAGUGACUUCUGGCCUUGUCUUUGCAUGCCUAAGGGAGUCAGCCCAUGCAUGAGCAAUGAUACAGCUUGGAUGUUCUACCUUGACGAGCCCGCCCCAGCUCCCCGAGAGCAGACCACGGCAGUCUCCACCCUGCAGCAUGUCCUAUGAAGCACAGCAACUUGUCUGUUUACAUUUCUGUGCAUUCUUCAAGGUGGAGGAUAUGCCCUCCUUCACUCAGGUCCCAAGCAACAAACAUUGUACCCGACAUGGUGUUUAUUGGCGCAAUGAAUGGAUAGAUCAAUGUAACAAUUACACAUGAAGAAUUUGGGAAUAUACCUUGCAUUUUUACCAAAAUUACUAUUCAAUCAAUUUCCAAUUUUCUGCAGCAUCUGACCCUGAAAUUCACAUAUCUACUUUAAUGUGAAAUCAGACAUCAUAAAAUAACCUACGGUGGUUAAAUUCAGCAACCUGUCUGCAAAUGAAGUUUCUUCCCUAUACAGGCUUGAAAAGUCUGAUCUUCUGAGAUGUUCUAACAAUAAUUAACUUUCAUAAUAAUUGCUCAAUAGCCCUAGCAUUUACUAAGGUCUACUAUGAACAUCCCAGGCACUAAGGCCAGCAUUAUACAGACUUGCACUUACACAGUAGUCCCCCCUUACGCAGUUUUCCUUUCUGCAGUUUCAUUUACCCACAGUACAGCAUAGUAAGAUAUUUUGAGACAGAAAAAGAGACCCACCAUAUUCACAUAAAUUUCAUUAAGGCAUAUUAUAAUUGUUCUAUUUUUAUUGAUGAUUGUUUCUCUCUUACUGUGCUUAAUCCAUUCAUUAAACUUUAUCACAUAUAUGUAUAUACAGUAAAAAAUAUUGUAUACAAAAGUUUCA